rnacentral:rRNA from 1 species
GGUGGUAAUACCGGAUGCUCCGCUCCAUCGCAUGGUGGGGUGGGAAAUGCUUUUGCGGCAUGGGAUGGGGUCGCGUCCUAUCAGCUUGUUGGCGGGGUGAUGGCCCACCAAGGCGUUGACGGGUAGCCGGCCUGAGAGGGUGACCGGCCACAUUGGGACUGAGAUACGGCCCAGACUCCUACGGGAGGCAGCAGUGGGGAAUAUUGCACAAUGGGCGCAAGCCUGAUGCAGCGACGCCGCGUGCGGGAUGGAGGCCUUCGGGUUGUAAACCGCUUUUGUUCAAGGGCAAGGCACGGUUUCGGCCGUGUUGAGUGGAUUGUUCGAAUAAGCACCGGCUAACUACGUGCCAGCAGCCGCGGUAAUACGUAGGGUGCGAGCGUUAUCCGGAUUUAUUGGGCGUAAAGGGCUCGUAGGCGGUUCGUCGCGUCCGGUGUGAAAGUCCAUCGCCUAACGGUGGAUCUGCGCCGGGUACGGGCGGGCUGGAGUGCGGUAGGGGAGACUGGAAUUCCCGGUGUAACGGUGGAAUGUGUAGAUAUCGGAAAAAAAACACCA